rnacentral:rRNA from 1 species
GACGAACCGUGCGAACGUUGUUCGGAAUCACUGGGCUUAAAGGGCGCGUAGGCGGCCGGGUUGGUCGUGGGUGAAAUCCCCCAGCUUAACUGGGGAACUGCCUACGAUACUGCCUGGCUCGAGGGAGGAAGGGGCGGUCGGAACUGUCGGUGGAGCGGUGAAAUGCGUAGAUAUCAAGAGGAACACCUGAGGUGAAGACGGGUUGCUGGGCUGACACUGACGCUGAGGCGCGAAAGCGUGGGGAGCGAACAGG